GACGAACGCUGGCGGCGUGCUUAACACAUGCAAGUCGAACGCAGUGGCGAACGGGUGAGUAACGCGUAAUCAACCUGCCCUUCAGCGGGGGACAACAGUUGGAAACGACUGCUAAUACCGCAUACUGUAGGAGGAGCUUGCGUCGGAAUAGCGAGUUGGAGGGGUAACGGCCCACCAAGGCGAUGAUCAGUAGCCGGUCUGAGAGGAUGAACGGCCACAUUGGGACUGGAACACGGCCCAGACUCCUACGGGAGGCAGCAGUGGGGAAUCUUCCGCAAUGGACGAAAGGCUGACGGAGCAACGCCGCGUGAGUGAUGACGGCCUUCGGGUUGUAAAGCUCUGUUAGUCGGGACACGGUACCGGAAUAGAAAGCCACGGCUAACUACGUGCCAGCCGCCGCGGUAAUUC
rnacentral:rRNA from 1 species